rnacentral:rRNA from 1 species
UCCAGACUCCUACGGGAGGCAGCAGUGAGGAAUAUUGGUCAAUGGGCGGAAGCCUGAACCAGCCAAGUCGCGUGAGGGAAUAAGGCCCUACGGGUCGUAAACCUCUUUUGCCGGGGAGCAAGGGCGGGGACGUGUCCCGGCCCGGAGAGUACCCGGAGAAAAAGCAUCGGCUAACUCCGUGCCAGCAGCCGCGGUAAUACGGAGGAUGCGAGCGUUAUCCGGAUUUAUUGGGUUUAAAGGGUGCGUAGGUUGUUUUUUAAGUCAGCGGUGAAAGUUUGUGGCUCAACCAUAAAAUUGCCGUUGAAACUGGAAGACUUGAGUGUGUUUGAGGUAGGCGGAAUGCGUGGUGUAGCGGUGAAAUGCAUAGAUAUCACGCAGAACUCCGAUUGCGAAGGCAGCUUACUAAGCCAUAACUGACACUGAAGCACGAAAGCGUGGGGAUCAAACAGGAUUAGAUACCCGUGUA